UACGAAGGGGGCGAGCGUUGUUCGGAAUUAUUGGGCGUAAAGCGCGCGCAGGCGGUCCUUUAAGUCUGAUGUGAAAGCCCACGGCUCAACCGUGGAGGGUCAUUGGAAACUGGGGGACUUGAGUGCAGAAGAGGAAAGCGGAAUUCCACGUGUAGCGGUGAAAUGCGUAGAGAUGUGGAGGAACACCAGUGGCGAAGGCGGCUUUCUGGUCUGUAACUGACGCUGAGGCGCGAAAGCGUGGGGAGCAAACAGG
rnacentral:rRNA from 1 species